GUAGGGGACAAGCGUUAUCCGGAUUUACUGGGCGUAAAGCGCCCGUAGGCAGCUUAGCAAGUUGGACGUGAAAGCUCCUGGCUUAACUGGGAGAGGCCGUACAAAACUGCCAAGCUAGAGGUUGGAAGAGGAGAGCGGAAUUCCCGGUGUAGUGGUGGAAUGCGUAGAUAUCGGGAGGAACACCAGUGGCGAAAGCGGCUCUCUGGUCCAGACCUGACGCUGAGGGGCGAAAGCGUGGGGAGCGAACGGGAUUAGAUACCCCGGUAGUCCACGCCGUAAACGAUGGAUACUAGGUGUAGGGGGACAAAACCCCCUCUGUGCCGAAGCUAACGCGUUAAGUAUCCCGCCUGGGGACUACGGCCGCAAGGUUAAA
rnacentral:rRNA from 1 species